GUAAAACCAUGCUAACCCGCAUAUCGUUUACCUUUUGUGGAUACUAAAACAAUUGCUGACUCAACAGCCACCAAAAAAGAAAAAAAAUCCAGCUUUGAUCUGUGAAAGUCGGAGAGAAAGCUCUGGGGAAGAGAGACAGGAGAAUGGGAAGUCUCGCUGGAUUUGAAAACGCUCUAAUUUUAACCACCGUAACAGAACAGAGGAGGUUUUGCAUGC
rnacentral:lncRNA from 1 species